UCUCAGAGAAAAACUUUUUUUAAAUUAAAAAUUGAAAUUUUUUUAAUUUGUGCAGAAACAAUUAUUAAUAUUAAGGACAAGAAGACCCUAUGAAUUUAUUAAAUUUCAUUCAAUAUGUAAUUACUAUUGAAGAAAUUUUGGCUGGGGCGGCUAAAAAAUAUUUUAAACUUUUUAAAAAUAAAAUGAUCCAUUAUUAAUGAUUAUAUGUUAAAUACUCUAGGGAUAACAGCGUUAUAUUUUUUGAUAGACCAUAUUGACAAAAAAGUUUGCGACCUCGAUGUUGGAUUAGGAUACUUUUUUAAUGCAGAUAUUAAAAAAAGAAGUUUGUUCAACUUUCAAUUUCCUACAUGAUC
rnacentral:rRNA from 1 species